UGAACGCUAGCGGCGGGCUUAAUACAUGCAAGUCGAGGGGCAGCACGAUGUAGCAAUACAUUGGUGGCGACCGGCGGACGGGUGCGUAACACGUAUGCAACUUGCCCUAUACUGGGGGAUAGCCCGAAGAAAUUCGGAUUAAUACCCCAUAACAUCAGGAUAAGCAUUUAUCUUGGUUCAAAACUCCGGUGGUAUAGGAUGGGCAUGCGGUCGAUUAGCUUGUUGGUGAGGUAACGGCUCACCAAGGCGACGAUCGAUAGGGGGCCUGAGAGGGUGAUCCCCCACACUGGUACUGAGACACGGACCAGACUCCUACGGGAGGCAGCAGUAAGGAAUAUUGGUCAAUGGGCGAAAGCCUGAACCAGCCACGCCGCGUGAAGGAAGACGGCCCUACGGGUUGUAAACUUCUUUUCUACGGGAAUAAACCUCAGGACGUGUCCUGAGCUGAAGGUACCGUAGGAAUAAGGAUCGGCUAACUCCGU
rnacentral:rRNA from 1 species